rnacentral:lncRNA from 1 species
GAUGAAGAUGCUUCAUCAAGCAGUUCUUCCCUCUGUUGGGGGUGUUAGUUACGCAGAAAGGCUCAAAGGUAUUGUUAUGUAUAUUCCUGACCAGGACGCGGCCCCAGGGCUUCACUGUGGUCUCCUAACAGCUCCCCUCUGUCUCUGCAUCCCAUCCCUUCCCUGAUGAGCAGCAGCUGCCCUUUGGAGCUCAGGGGAGGUCAGGGAGGCUGAGGCUUAUUCCCUAAAAGAAAGAAAUGGAGAGAGUUCCCGUCACGGCUCAGCAGAAACGAGUCUAGCAUCCAUGAGGUGAUGUCAGAAAGAUAACACCGGAAUCCAGGUUCCUGUUCACGGCAGCGGGAGAAUGAACUCCUCGAACACACAGGCAGCAAGCAAGCAAGGUUUUCAUUAAAGGAAAGCAGACAGCUCCCAGNGGGGGGGGGGGGGGGGGGGGGGGGGGGGGGGUAAGCCCCCCUUCUCUGUUGUCCCACAGAGGUUUUUAUCUCUUAAAGGUCGGGAGAGGCACCAACGUGGGGUCCAGAAAGAUGUGGUUUUCUCCUCCUGGCCUUAUUCAAUUACCUAUAUCAGUCCUUGUCCAGUAGGGCUUUUGGGGUUGGAAACAUCCUGAAAGUUCUAUGGGUUUUUUGUUUAUUUGUUUGCUUUGUCCUUUCUCCAUUCCUCUCAUUCCUUUUCUAUCAGUGGAGGAGUGGGCUAGGGAUUCGCAUUUUCUAUAGUAAACAAAGCCUUGGGGAAUGUGCAUUUCCUAUAAUGAAACAAGGCCUGUGGCGAUGUUACUCCUUAGAGCCCUUAAGCCACAAAUGUUAAUCAAUGGCCGUCUUAAAGAAGGCAUGGAAGUCCACGCUCCUUCACCGACUACCUGAGUUACUGUUCUGCCUCAAGGGCAGCUUCGAUCUCUGGCCUCACUCAGUGGGUAAGGAUCUGGCGUUGCCAUGAGCUGUGGUGUAGGUCGCAGACACGGCUCGGGUCUGACGUGGCUGCAGCUGCGAUUCUGUCUCCAUAAGCCGUGGGUGCAAGCCUGAAAAGACAGACAAAAGCAAAAAGACAAGAAACGGAGGACACAGGAAGGCCUGUGUGCCUAGGAGAUGAGCCCCGUUACAGGCUUGGAGCAGACUGAGAGCCAGCUAGGGACUUGGGGAAGCCUUGGACGUGGGCGGAGGGCCUAGAUGACGUGUGUGGCGUGGUGACCACGGAAGGUGGGGAGGGACUGGACAUUUGCACUGGCAGUGGGGACUGUGAAGCAAAGACAGAGGAUGAACUGUACGCGGCAGAACCAGCCUGAGAGCGGAGAGAGCAAGAAGGGCUGGCAGACCGCAUUCCUGGGGACACCAGGACCACAGACACUAUGGCUUAGUCUGGAGACAGACCAAGUGCUAGGAAUGGCCUGUGUUACAUGCUGUACGUGUUGAAACCCAGUGGGACACUUUGGGGUCUUGGGGAGGGGGGAGCAGGGACACAUACCAUCCCCCCUCUUCCUCAUGUCCUCUGCCAUUUAUUUAUUUGUUUAUUUAUAGAUUUAUUUAUUUAUUUAUUUGUGUCUUUUUAGGGCCGUACCUGUGGCACAUAGAGGUUCCCAGGCUAGGGGUCGAAUGGGAGCUGUAGCUGCCGGCUGGCCUGCAGCAUGGCCACAGCAAUGCCAGAUCUGAACCUCAUCUGUGAUCUAUGCAGUUGUAGCUCUGAUUGGACCCCUAGCCUGGGAACCUCCAUAUGCCACCGGUGUGGCUCUAAAAAGACAAAAAAAAAAAAAAAACCCAAAACAACCCCCCCACCCCCGCACCUCCCAAAGUCCCUUUAGUUGUCAGGCUGCUGGACUUGGAGCGAGGGGAGAAAAAACAUGAACUAUUAGGAAAUGAUUCCGAAAUAAUACUUUAUUAGCAAUAAAAACACUGUCUUUUUCUAUGCGUGUAGGCACCUUUGCCUUAUGCUCCCUUAGUUGACUCAGGCGAAUCAGGCUUCUUACAGACACAGAAGAAGACUCAGAUUUCUAAAUUGAAGCUCUUUCUAACACUAUUUUGAGCAGGAAAGAUAGUGCCUAGAGGUGGGUUUGUGUGAACCCAGGGUGAGGAAAUGGGGAGGAGGUUUACAAGUGCGAAGGGACCUCUCCUUUUCUUUGGGUAGCAGACGCAACCCCCUGGAACGGGUUCUGGGUGGGCCUGUCAAUCAACGUGCCCCUCCUCCAAGAAAAGGUUGAUCACAUGACCCACUCUAGGCCAAUCAGAUUCCCUCUCUGAAGUUGGUAUCGGGACUGGUGUGUUUGCACAGACUGAAUUGGGUCCUUUUUUUUUUUUUUUUUUUUUGGUCUCCUUGCCAUUUCUUGGGCCGCUCCCUGCGGCAUAUGCAGGUUCCCAGGCUAGGGGUCGAAUCGGAGCUGUAGCCACCGGCCUACGCCAGAGCCACAGCAACGCGGGAUCCGAUUCGCACCUACACCGCAGCUCACGGCAACGCCGGAUCGCCAACCCACUGAGCAAGCGCAGGGACCGAACCCACAACCUCAUGGUUCUUAGGUUCUUAGUCGGAUUCGUCAACCACUGCGCCACGACGGGAACUCCUUGAAUUGGUUCCUUUGAGGGCGGCAUCUUGAGCGGAAUCUGUUCAUUAUUUCCUGCUACCAAGAUGCUCACAGCGCCCUGUUUCCUCCUCAAGGCCUGAUCCUUCUUUGGAAUCCUGUCUUUGCAUUCUACCACUUGUCCUUCUAAAACAUUGCUUUUGGUUUAAGUCACCCAGAGUUAAUUUUUGUUCCUUUAGUCUAAAUAGCUCUACCAGGUACAGCAGUAGUACCAUGCUGCUUGGUAUUUUCUUUCUUUUGGGCAGCCUUCAUAUCCUAUGUAAAUACUAAUGUACAUUUGCUUGUUUGUAGAGAAAAAGCCCUUUUUCGACUGAACGCAAACUGGAGUCAGAUUCAACAGGUAAUAAAAAGUGUGGAAAAUCUGGAGUUCCCUUGGUAGCUCAGAGGUUAACAAAUCCCACUAGAAUCCUCAAGGAUGCAGGUUCAAUCUCUGGCUUUGCUCAGUGGGUUAAGGAUCUGGCAUUGCUGUGAGCUCUGGUGUAGGUUGCAGAUGCAGCUCGGAUCCUGCGUUGCUGUGGCUGUGGUGUUUGCUGGCAGCUGUAGCCUGAGAACCUCCAUGUGCUGCAGGUGUGGCCCUAAAAAGCGGAAAAAAAAAAUGUGAAGGAGUUCUUGUGGCUCAGUGGUUAAUUAAUCUGACUAGCAUCCAUACGGACGCGUGUUUGAUCCCUGGCCUUGCUCAGUGGGUUAAGGAUCUGGUGUUGCCGUGAGCUGUGAUGUAUGUCCCAGACUCAGCUCGGAUACCGAGUUGCUGUGGCUGGGAUGUAGGCUGGCAGCUGUAGUUCCGACUGGACCCCUAGCCUAGGAACCUCCAUAUGCCCAGGGUGCGGCCCUAAAAAGAAAAAAAGUAAAAGUGUAGGAAAUCUGACCGAGAUCACCAGGAGACAAUAGAUAGUUAGGAGAGAAAACGCAGGUGGGUUAAAAAGCUUAAUUGACCAAAAGCACUUUGGAGGGUGGAGAUCAGGUUAAGUUUGAUCCAUCUGUGGCCAGGAGAGUUUAGGGAGAACUCUAGUUGGGACAGGAAUAGAUGCAGAACUUCUUAGCCUCUUCCUGGGGCAGAGGAGUGUGUGUGCUGGAAAUGGGUUAAAGGUACUGGUACAGAUCCUAGGCUCCCUGUGUAAGGCUUUUCUCCCAACCUGGAUUGAUUGGACUCUGGAAUUGUUCUGUGUACUUGCCCUGUUUAUCAGGGUACAGAUUGUGUCCUGAUAAAUAAUUGCACCUGUUUAGUGGUAACUCUCUGUAUUCAGGAAAGUGACUUCAAUUUGUGACACUCUCAUUUGUUUAUUCAUUCAAUAAGUAUUUAUUGAGUGCUGAGUACCUAGUGGUACAGAAUAGUUUCAGUUCCUGUCCUGGAGAUAGUAACUGUAGAGAGAGGAGAACAGUAUUAAGAAAAUAAUUAAACAGAAAUCUGUAAUUACAAAUUGUGCCAAGUCCUAAAAUUACAGGCUGCAAUCAGGAUAUAACUGGCGAUGCUGUUUUACUAUCCAAGGAGGGGCAAUGGAGCAAGAUUUUGUUCCCAUAAAGAGGGUUCACAAACUUUUAUGCUGGUGGUAGGACCUUUGCAUUUUAUCCAAGAGGCUUUGUCUUUCAUUUUCGUGAACUCACAUUAAAAUAUAAUAUAGACUCUGUAAGAUGGAGUAUAUUUUUGUGUUGACUUGUGUGUAAUAGGUUGUAACUGAAAACUGAAGGCAAGCUUUCUUGGGCCAAUUGGUGAACACUAAAUCUAGUUUAGAGACAGGGAUAUAAAUUAAUUUUUAAGAGAAAAUGAUUUAAGUAUAAUAUAAUGUUGUGUCUGACGGUGCAGAAAGAACGGAUAACCAGGCUAAUUCAUGAGCACCUAAUAGGGCUUUGGCGAUCUAAACUGUCAUACCACGUGUUGAUGUAGCUGAAUUCCCUAAACAUAUCUGUUAUUCUGAAAGAAAAGACGAAAUCUCCCCUUUUUAACAUUUGUUCAAUAUUUUGGUCCUUUGACCAUUUGCUGAAGACCAUUAAGUGCAAGAUACUCUGUGAGGUAUACUGUAACUACCAGAAUGCACAUGGAAUCAUCUAGAAUGGCACAAUUUUGCAACCUAGUGGAAUCGACAGGGGGCAUAAAUAAGACGUUAGACUGGCAAUCAUCCUGCGUGGCUAGUUGAGAAGCCUUUGAAAGAAUGCUUUAGGCGCCAUCUGGUGGUCAGCAUUAGGAAUGCAUUGAAUUCAACUCACCUUCCACUUGCCAGAUUGUUUAAAAAGUUUAUCAGAAAAAAAACCCCCAAAACCUCGUAAAAGGUAUUCCUGCUGUGGUGCGGUGGGUUAAGGAUCCAGCGUUGCCAUAGCUGUGGCAUAGAUUGCAGCUGCAUCUGGGAUUCCAUCCCUGGCCUGGGAACUUCCAUAUGCUGUGGGUGUGGCCAAAAAAAAAAAAAAAA